UAAUAUUUAAAGAAUAAAGGUUCUUUUUAAGAUUAAUAAGGAAAACGGUGUAAAUCCGUUGCUGUAGUCGCAGCUGUAACCAGUAUUUUUAGAAGAUCUCCACUGCUUUAAGUGGGAAGGAGAUUUUUAUGAGAACUGGGAGCCAGAAGACUUACCUUUAUUUAUGCUUCACA
rnacentral:ncRNA from 2 species